rnacentral:rRNA from 1 species
GACGAACCGUGCGAACGUUGUUCGGAUUCACUGGGCUUAAAGGGCGCGUAGGCGGACGGUCAAGUCAGGGGUGAAAUCUUUCAGCUCAACUGGAAAAGUGCCUCUGAUACUGAUCGUCUCGAGGGAGGUAGGGGCACGUGGAACUUCCGGUGGAGCGGUGAAAUGCGUAGAUAUCGGAAGGAACGCCGGUGGCGAAAGCGACGUGCUGGACCUCUUCUGACGCUGAGGCGCGAAAGCCAGGGGAGCGAACGGG